CAGAAGGCCAGGAAGGUGAUAAAGGGCCUGGAGCAUCUCCUCAGUAUGGAAAGGCUGGGGGACCUGGGUCUGUUCAGCCUUGAGGAAAGAAGACUGAGAGCAGAUCUGAUUAAUGCUUACGUAUUUGUUAAGUGUGGGAGUCCAAAGGACACGGCCAACCUCUUGUCAGCGAUCUGUGGGGACAGGAGAAGGGGAAAUGGCCACAAACUGGAGCACAGGAAGUUCUGCACCAAAAUGCAAAGGAUCUUCUUCACGCGAUGCAGUGUUUCAGAAGGGAGAAAAGCACGGCAGGCGUAAACUGGAUUUCUGUGGUUGGUAAAGCUGUGCUGAGAAGUGGGCUGACACUGGGACCUGGAAAUGUGUCUGCAGACUCUGCACCCAGAGGAAUGACUUUUCCCUGCAGGUUGGGUUUGUCUAAGGUGAUUUUUUCACGAGGAAAGAUUUGAAAUGCUGUUUGCUAAUGGAAGAUGGAGAGAGGAAAAUCAAGUGAAAGGCAUGCUGUGCAUAGCCAGCACAUAGCACCUGCACUGCUCUCCCCCUGCGCAAAGGAGGAGCAGCUCAGCAAGCCUGGCCUGAGCCAUGGAAGGGAGCACACAAACAUCUGGACCAACCCCAAUGGAGCUGCUUCUGCAGGAAUCCAUGUGGGUUUUUUAAUGAAGAACAGACUCGUUGUGCAGCUUGUGAGUGAAUUCAUUCACACCUGUUAAUCGUUGCUCUUCUCUACAUGGAGCUGCAAUUGCAAUGGAUGCUUGUGGUCUGAUGUGCAGCCUCGUCUGAUGUGCUCAGAUGAGCCAAGUUUGCAAGGCCUGGCUCUCGGUUGGUGAGUUGUGCCCAAGGUCAGAGAGUUGACUCUUGUCGGCUUUGAGAACCAUCUUCCAGUUGCACGCUGUGUUCUUCCUGUUGUGUUGAGCUCUUGAGCUCCAGCCUUAAGUGAGGAUGCAAGCGCUACUGCAGAAGGAACGGGUUGAGAUUGGAAAUGCAGUGCAAAGGGCUGGAGCCAGCAGGAGCUGGGAUGUGAUCAUCCCCCUGUACUCAGCUCUGGUGAGUCCUCACCUUGAGUGCUGUGUUCAGUUCUGGGUCCCUGACUACAAGAAGGACACUGAAUCCCCGAGAUAUUGCCAGAGAAGAGCAGUGAAGCUGUGAAGAGUGUAGAGCACCAGUCUCAUGGGGAGCGGCUGGCUGAGAGAACUGGGAUUAUUUAGCCUGGAGAAGAGGAGGCUCAGGGCAGACCUUAUCCCUCUCUACAAUGAGCUGAAGAGAGAUUAUGUCGAGGUGGGGGUCGUCUUAUUCUCCCGUGUCAGUAGCGAUAGGACUGGGGGGAACGGCCUCAAGUUGCACGGGGGGAGAUUGAGGCUGGACGUUAAGAAACGCUUCUCCACAGGAGUGCCCAGGGAGGUGAUGGAGUUACUGUCCCUGCAGGUGUUCAAGAAACGUUAGAUGUGGCAGUGAGGGACGUGGCUUAGUGGGGAAUAUUGGUGGUAGGUGGACGGUUGGACUGGAUGAUCUUGGAGAUCUUUUGCAAGCUUGCUAAUUCUGAUUCUGUGAAAGGCAUCUGCUGGGCGAGUGCUUUGAUGGGUGAGCAUCCGGCUGCUGGACAGCAGGCAGCUG